UACAGAGGGUGCGAGCGUUAAUCGGAAUUACUGGGCGUAAAGGGUGCGUAGGCGGUAGAAUAAGUUAGAUGUGAAAUCCCCGGGCUUAACCUGGAAAUUGCAUUUAAGACUGUUUUGCUGGAGUAGAGUAGAGGGAAGUGGAAUUUCCGGUGUAGCGGUGAAAUGCGUAGAUAUCGGAAAGAACAUCAGUGGCGAAGGCGGCUUCCUGGACUCAUACUGACGCUGAGGCACGAAAGCAUGGGGAGCAAACAGG
rnacentral:rRNA from 1 species